UACGUAGGUGGCAAGCGUUGUCCGGAAUUAUUGGGCGUAAAGCGCGCGCAGGUGGUUCCUUAAGUCGGAUGUGAAAGCCCUCGGCUCAACCAAGGAAGUGCAUCCGAAACUGCUGAGCUUGAGUACUUAAGAGGAUCGCGGAAUUCCCGGUGUAGAGGUGAAAUUCGUAGAUAUCGGGAGGAACACCAGUGGCGAAGGCGGCGAUCUGGGAAGAUACUGACGCUGAGGUGCGAAAGCGUGGGGAGCAAACAGG
rnacentral:rRNA from 1 species